UGGGGAAUUGUUCGCAAUGGGCGCAAGCCUGACGACGCAACGCCGCGUGGGGGAUGAAGGUCUUCGGAUUGUAAACCCCUGUUGGGUGGGACGAACAUUCCCGUGGUGAACAUCCACGGGAGCUGACGGUACCACCUGAGGAAGCCCCGGCUAACUCUGUGCCAGCAGCCGCGGUAAUACGUAGGGACCAAGCGUUGUUCGGAUUUACUGGGCGUAAAGGGCGCGUAGGCGGCAAUUCAAGUCAGCUGUGAAAUCUCCGGGCUUAACUCGGAACGGUCAGCUGAUACUGCUUUGCUAGAGUGCAGAAGGGGCAAUCGGAAUUCUUGGUGUAGCGGUGAAAUGCGUAGAUAUCAAGAGGAACACCUGAGGUGAAGACGGGUUGCUGGGCUGACACUGACGCUGAGGCGCGAAAGCUAGGGUAGCAAA
rnacentral:rRNA from 1 species